rnacentral:rRNA from 1 species
AAGGGCGACUGAAGCGUCUAUAGCUCACCAUGUGAAUUUGCAGUGCUGAAUUGUGGUCUGGAGACUUUUGCAUCCAGGCCAAGUCCCUUGGAACGGGGCAGCUCAGAGGGUGACACUCCCAUGUGCCUGGCUUUGUCAAAGAGUCGAGUUGUUUGGGAUUGCAGCUCCAAGCAGGUGGUAAAUUCCAUCGAAAGCUAAAUACUGGUGGAAGACCGAUAGCGAACAAGUACCGUGAGGGAAAGAUGCAAAGAACUUUGAAAAGAGAGUUAAAGAGUACCUGAAAUUGCUGAAAAGGAAGCGAAGGAAACUAGUGUCGUUGCGCCACACUUCCCUGCUCGCUUGCGGUUGGGGCGCUGUGGCCAGCGUAGUCCUGUUGGAU